rnacentral:rRNA from 1 species
UUAAGCGACUAAGCGUACACGGUGGAUGCCCUGGCAGUCAGAGGCGAUGAAGGACGUGCUAAUCUGCGAAAAGCGUCGGUAAGGUGAUAUGAACCGUUAUAACCGGCGAUGUCCGAAUGGGGAAACCCAGUGCAAUUCGUUGCACUAUCGUUAACUGAAUACAUAGGUUAACGAGGCGAACCGGGGGAACUGAAACAUCUAAGUACCCCGAGGAAAAGAAAUCAACCGAGAUUCCCCCAGUAGCGGCGAGCGAACGGGGAGCAGCCCAGAGUCUGAAUCAGCUUGUGUGUUAGUGGAACGGUCUGGAAAGUCCGACGGUACAGGGUGAUAGUCCCGUACACCAAAAUGCACAGGCUGUGAACUCGAAGAGUAGGGCGGGACACGUGGUAUCCUGUCUGAAUAUGGGGGGACCAUCCUCCAAGGCUAAAUACUCCUGACUGACCGAUAGUGAACCAGUACCGUGAGGGAAAGGCGAAAAGAACCCCGGCGAGGGGAGUGAAAAAGAACCUGAAACCGUGUACGUACAAGCAGUGGGAGCACCUUCGGGUGUGACUGCGUACCUUUUGUAUAAUGGGUCAGCGACUUAUAUUCUGUAGCAAGGUUAACCAUAUAGGGGAGCCGCAGGGAAACCGAGUCUUAACUGGGCGUUAAGUUGCAGGGUAUAGACCCGAAACCCGGUGAUCUAGCCAUGGGCAGGUUGAAGGUUGGGUAACACUAACUGGAGGACCGAACCGACUAAUGUUGAAAAAUUAGCGGAUGACUUGUGGCUGGGGGUGAAAGGCCAAUCAAACCGGGAGAUAGCUGGUUCUCCCCGAAAGCUAUUUAGGUAGCGCCUCGUGAAUUCAUCUUCGGGGGUAGAGCACUGUUUCGGCUAGGGGGUCAUCCCGACUUACCAACCCGAUGCAAACUACGAAUACCGAAGAAUGUUAUCACGGGAGACACACGGCGGGUGCUAACGUCCGUCGUGAAGAGGGAAACAACCCAGACCGCCAGCUAAGGUCCCAAAGUCAUGGUUAAGUGGGAAACGAUGUGGGAAGGCACAGACAGCCAGGAUGUUGGCUUAGAAGCAGCCAUCAUUUAAAGAAAGCGUAAUAGCUCACUGGUCGAGUCGGCCUGCGCGGAAGAUGUAACGGGGCUAAACCAUGCACCGAAGCUGCGGCAGCGACACUAUGUGUUGUUGGGUAGGGGAGCGUUCUGUAAGCCUGCGAAGGUGACCUGUGAGGGUUGCUGGAGGUAUCAGAAGUGCGAAUGCUGACAUAAGUAACGAUAAAGCGGGUGAAAAGCCCGCUCGCCGGAAGACCAAGGGUUCCUGUCCAACGUUAAUCGGGGCAGGGUGAGUCGACCCCUAAGGCGAGGCCGAAAGGCGUAGUCGAUGGGAAACAGGUUAAUAUUCCUGUACUUGGUGUUACUGCGAAGGGGGGACGGAGAAGGCUAUGUUAGCCGGGCGACGGUUGUCCCGGUUUAAGCAUGUAGGCUGGUUAUCCAGGCAAAUCCGGAUAAUCAAGGCUGAGGUGUGAUGACGAGGCACUACGGUGCUGAAGUAACAAAUGCCCUGCUUCCAGGAAAAGCCUCUAAGCAUCAGGUAACAUCAAAUCGUACCCCAAACCGACACAGGUGGUCAGGUAGAGAAUACCAAGGCGCUUGAGAGAACUCGGGUGAAGGAACUAGGCAAAAUGGUGCCGUAACUUCGGGAGAAGGCACGCUGGUGUGUAGGUGAAGUCCCUGCGGAUGGAGCUGAGACCAGUCGAAGAUACCAGCUGGCUGCAACUGUUUAUUAAAAACACAGCACUGUGCAAACACGAAAGUGGACGUAUACGGUGUGACGCCUGCCCGGUGCCGGAAGGUUAAUUGAUGGGGUUAUCCGUAAGGAGAAGCUCUUGAUCGAAGCCCCGGUAAACGGCGGCCGUAACUAUAACGGUCCUAAGGUAGCGAAAUUCCUUGUCGGGUAAGUUCCGACCUGCACGAAUGGCGUAAUGAUGGCCAGGCUGUCUCCACCCGAGACUCAGUGAAAUUGAACUCGCUGUGAAGAUGCAGUGUACCCGCGGCAAGACGGAAAGACCCCGUGAACCUUUACUAUAGCUUGACACUGAACAUUGAGCCUUGAUGUGUAGGAUAGGUGGGAGGCUUUGAAGCGUGGACGCCAGUCUGCGUGGAGCCAACCUUGAAAUACCACCCUUUAAUGUUUGAUGUUCUAACGUUGGCCCCUGACCGGGGUUGCGGACAGUGUCUGGUGGGUAGUUUGACUGGGGCGGUCUCCUCCCAAAGCGUAACGGAGGAGCACGAAGGUUAGCUAAUCCUGGUCGGACAUCAGGAGGUUAGUGCAAUGGCAUAAGCUAGCUUGACUGCGAGCGUGACGGCGCGAGCAGGUGCGAAAGCAGGUCAUAGUGAUCCGGUGGUUCUGAAUGGAAGGGCCAUCGCUCAACGGAUAAAAGGUACUCCGGGGAUAACAGGCUGAUACCGCCCAAGAGUUCAUAUCGACGGCGGUGUUUGGCACCUCGAUGUCGGCUCAUCACAUCCUGGGGCUGAAGUAGGUCCCAAGGGUAUGGCUGUUCGCCAUUUAAAGUGGUACGCGAGCUGGGUUUAGAACGUCGUGAGACAGUUCGGUCCCUAUCUGCCGUGGGCGCUGGAGAAUUGAGGGGGGCUGCUCCUAGUACGAGAGGACCGGAGUGGACGCAUCACUGGUGUUCGGGUUGUCAUGCCAAUGGCACUGCCCGGUAGCUAAAUGCGGAAGAGAUAAGUGCUGAAAGCAUCUAAGCACGAAACUUGCCCCGAGAUGAGUUCUCCCUGAGACUUUAAGUCUCCUGAAGGAACGUUGAAGACGACGACGUUGAUAGGCCGGGUGUGUAAGCGCAGCGAUGCGUUGAGCUAACCGGUACUAAUGAACCGUGAGGCUUAACCUU